rnacentral:rRNA from 1 species
CCUACGGGUGGCAGCAGUGGGGAAUAUUGGGCAAUGGGCGCAAGCCUGACCCAGCAACGCCGCGUGAAGGAAGAAGGCUCUCGGGUUGUAAACUUCUUUUAUCAGGGACGAAACAAAUGACGGUACCUGAUGAAUAAGCCACGGCUAACUACGUGACAGCAGCCGCGGUAAUACGUAGGUGGCAAGCGUUAUCCGGAUUUACUGGGUGGAAAGGGCGUGUAGGCGGGAGAGCAAGUCGGACGUGAAAUGCCAGGGCUCAACCGUGGAACUGCGUUGGAAACUAUUCUUCGUGAGUGAUGGAGAGGAAAGCGGAAUUCCUGGUGUAGCGGUGAAAUGCGUAGAUAUACGGAGGAACACCAGUGGCGAAGGCGACCUGCUGGACAUUAACUGACGCUGAGGCGCGAAAGCGUGGGGAGCAAACAGGAUUAGAUACCCGAGUAGUC